CGGCUGCGGCUGCGGCUGCGGCUGCUGCGGUGGUCAAAGUGUGGACGCCGCUUUGGGACAUCCCCUGUGGGCUGCAUCGAAAGCCCGCGAGCCCGAGGAUCGGCAGGUCUCGCCCCUGACACUCGUGUCGUGAGCCGAUCUCACCUCAAAGCCCGAAGCCCGAUCCUGAAAUCAACUGUAGCAACCAGUGAAACCACCCGUUCGAAAUCUCUGCACCUCCAUUUUCAAAGAGCAUCUUCCUGGACUAGACGUGGAAAACACUGUGGCUCAAAGCAUUAUACUCACAAAGAGUUCAAAGGGAUGAUGAAUACAGAAUAAGAAAUUUUGGGAGAUCAAAAUUCAGGAGUUCAGUUCCAGCCUGGAAAACAAGAUGAGGGAACUUCCCAGCCUGCACCAAUGUUCACAUUUCUGAUUGCAUUACAAGAUUUUUUCUUUUUUGACCUCAGAAGUCACUUGGAAACUUUUGGGGGAAAUUUCAGCACAUCUUUUAAGUUUUGUUUAUGGUAAGCAGAGGAGAUACAUUAGGACUUAGAGAAGUGUCUCACCCUCCAGGCUCAGUAGCCUUACCAUCAACCCCCCCCAUGUUUUCCUAUCCAGGCUUUGGGGUCACAUUUCAUUUUCAGUGUGAUUCACGUUCACAGUUUACCAUUACAGCUAGCCAUAGUUUUAGUGGAUUGUCAUAAGUCUUUGCUGAGGUGUGUGUGUGUGUGUGUGUGUGUGUGUGUGUGUGUGUGUGAGUGAGUGUGGUUUUUUGAUUGGUUGGUUGGUUGGGUCUGUUGUUUUGUUUUUUGGCAGAAUUUUUCACAUUUUUAUGGUAGUAAAGUUUACAUUAGCAUUAAGAAAUGCUUUCCUAGUUUGUUAUUGCCCAGUAGCUGCUUCUCAGUACUGCCAGCUUUCAUGGCAUUUUCAGUAUUGUUUUUAUUUUGUGUCUUGAUCUUUGCACAUGAACCAUGCCAUUAUUAGUUUCUACUGGAAAUACUUACGUGUGUGGUAUGUGUACCUGCUCGUGUGUGUAUGCCUGCACAUAUGUGCACAUGGGUGUGGAGGACAGAGACUGACUUUGGGCGUUUCCAUUCAUCAGCUCUUCGGCUCAUGUUUGGAGCAAGGUCUCUCACUGAGCCUGUAAUACAUCAGCUCAGAGAGGCUGGCUGGCCAGUGAGACUCCGGGAUCUGCCUGUCUGGCCCUCUCAGUACUGGGGCUGUCGUCACAGCAGACGAGCACCUCACUGGCUGGGUCAUCUCUCUGACCCUUCUGGAAACAAUUUAUCCAGAAUUCCUACUCAGGGCUUUCAUCUUCGUCGUCUACUUUAUCUUCAUGCCCAUCAGUCCCUGCUGUGCCUUCACGAGCAUUUGUAUCCAUAUCUCUUGUCUUCUUCAUGGUCUUUUCAGUCCUACUUUUCAUUGGUGUCAUUUGAGCGGGGGCACUCUAUAACUACCAUGUGGGGGAAGCUGCUCCUCCAUGAUCCCCAUGGGUCUAUCCUCUUGAGAAUGUCUUUUAUGAAGGCAAACUGCAGUUCCUGUCACUCAGUGGGCUUCGGGCUGCAAGUGCUGCUCAUCAUUCCACUCCAUUGUCUGUCAGAUCCGAUUUCCCUUUAGUUGUGCUUCUAAUAAGCCUAAGGGCUUACCUCGUAUGACCCAGAUCCUUAUUCCUGAUGGAAAAUGUGUGCUGGUAAUUAUUUACAUAUCAUUCUGGAAUUGCUGCACAUGUCCUCCCACGGUUACAAUUUGGAAUCAAAAUGUUCCCAAAUUGAUCACCUAUGUGUUUUUCUCUGCCUUGUAGCAUUUUGAUUUCUUAUUGAUCUAGCUCAGUUACCACUGCUAAGAUAGGAAAUCCUCGCCUGCUCAUACCUUCAGAGAGUUCACAAUGCCCAAACAGUAGCCAUAACUUAUAGUCUAAUGGGACUCUUGUUGUUCCCUGACAGAAAUUCAUCCAUUUGGAAGCCUUCAGAGUAAAGGGUUAUAGGAAUAGGAAGCAGUCUCCCCUAACGAGUCAGUGGGGUCACUUCUGCUUCCUCUGCCUAGUUCUCCUAACUCAGUAGGAACGCCGCCUUUAGAGGGCCCUGUGUUAGUGGACUUACUGUUUCUUGAAGGAUGGCGCUUAAUCCUUCUGAAGUCCUGCUUCUGAACUGGCACGUCAGCUAAACCAUUAUUACACUGGAAACAAAUGUUAGGGUCGAGAUGAAUUUUAGGGUUGAACAGCAAAGGUCAGGAAAACUGAGGAAGGUAAAUAAGAAGGUUUGCAACUGGGUAUGAAAUAGCCAAGCUGCCCAGAGAAGAGAAAGUGCAGAACUCUGGAAAGAACAAAACCUGGCUCUAGAUGUUUCCGCUGGCCCCAGGAGCCCCACCUUCACCCUUGCAGGAGCAUGUGCAAGACAUCAUUGCCCUUUCGUUAGUAAACAUCCACACUUUAUAGGUAGUUACACCGUCAUAGAUAAGCAUGCAUCUAAUUGUAACAGACUGAAUUGUGGGUAAUGGCUUCUAGGAAAGUUACUUGCUUUAGAAAGGACACCUGCUCAUACUCCACCAAGGAUGGACAAGGGAAGGAAAACUGGUGGACAGAGUCCAGAGGCUGGAGGUUUCCCUUUGCCACUGACACGUGGCUCAGACCACCCUCCCCUCUUUGCCUUCUCACCUGCUGAAGUAAACCCUGGCAGCGCGUUCACUCUAUCUGUCAUUCUUUUCCCCGAGGAACAUAAGAACUGAGCUGGCUGCUGCACUUGACAUUGGAGGGAACGUAGGAGGAGACAUCUUUCCUCAUCCCUAACACCUUCAGUGGGUUCCCUGGUAUUCUAUCAGACUGGAUGGCGCUGUUGAUUCUCCGGUCAGAGUUCACACAUUAUCUUUUUACUUAUUCUUGUUUGGAUGCUCAAUUAAAUUAGAUCCCAUAUCUGUGAUCAGGCCUUCUUUAAGGCUCUGGGUAGCAAUAAUAUAGGCUAAGGCCCUGCAAGGCAGAGCAGCAAAUCCACACCCAGAAUAAGUCUUCAUCCCUGUCAUGAUGGACCACUAGCCACUCCAAAAUUGGGAAAGUCCAUGUUAUUGGUCUGCUGCCAGGUGUCUGAUUGGUCUCAAGUGAUAAUACCAUAUUGGGUACAGUAUAUAGUUCUGUCGCCUGCAGGUUCUUCAGAGAGAGAGAGAGGUAGGGGUUGGCUUUUGUAACUGGGAAUUUUCUGUGGCUCGUGUGUAGCCUCCUGUGAAAACAUGACUGCUCAUGUGUUGUUGUAGUUCUAGACAGUUCUAGAGUAGGCCGUGGCAAAAGCUUGCCUAACACCAACUGAUAGAAUCCUUUGUUCGAUUUUUCUGUUUCUCUUCACGAUGAAUGUUCUAGUCAGAGUGAGUUAUGUCAUUAGUCAUUAAGCAAGACAGGCAUCUUAGGAACAAAAUCCUAUAUGUGAAUGCACCCUUGGGGUACCCUUUGUUUUCUCGCCACUGAGACUUUAUGGCAUAAGCAGAGCAUUCCUUGAGGUAUGUCAGUUGAUCAGUGUGAGCUCACCAUGCUUCAGAAUGUGUUUAUUAUAUCUUCUUUGUAAAGUAUGAGAUUUCACUGAGCUUGCUCAGGAAUGUACUCCUUAACUGAGCAUGCUUAGUACUGGACCACCCCUGACGUGAGUUUGUAUAGGCUCUCUGAAUAAAAUUCCCAUGCUGUCUUUGUCGGAAGAGCUUUGUUUGGGAAGAACUCCUGUGCUCUCUCUUGUCCAUUACAAGUAAUCUUUAUAUAUUGACUGUGUUUAUUUUGGCUUGCACUUAACAAUACGUGAACCCAUUAUAUUUGAUUACAAUAUAAUAAAAAAAAGUCUUUA